UCUUCGGAGACGUGGGUGGUCGCACCAAUCCUGGGACGAGCCUCCAAUGAAAGAUCUCCGAAGAGAGACCCUCACUCAAGUCUUGGGAUAAUAGCAGACCCCCAAGAACUUACGAGAGA
rnacentral:pre_miRNA from 7 species